rnacentral:rRNA from 1 species
GACGAACGCUGGCGGCGUGCUUAACACAUGCAAGUCGAGCGGUAAGGCCCUUUCGGGGGUACACGAGCGGCGAACGGGUGAGUAACACGUGGGUGACCUGCCCUCAGCUCUGGGAUAAGCCUGGGAAACCGGGUCUAAUACCGGAUAUGACUCCAUGACGCAUGUUGUGGGGUGGAAAGCCUUGUGCGGCUGAGGAUGGGCCCGCGGCCUAUCAGCUUGUUGGUGGGGUGAUGGCCUACCAAGGCGACGACGGGUAGCCGGCCUGAGAGGGCGACCGGCCACACUGGGGACUGAGACACGGGCCCAGACUCCUACGGGAGGCAGCAGUGGGGAAUCUUGCGCAAUGGGCGAAAGCCUGACGCAGCGACGCCGCGUGAGGGAUGACGGCCUGG